GACGAACGCUGGCGGCGCGCCUAACACAUGCAAGUCGAACGGAGUUAGUUUGACGGAUUCUUCGGAUGACGGAUAAUUGACUUAGUGGCGAACGGGUGAGUAACGCGUGAGCAAUCUGCCUUAAAGAGGGGGACAACAGUUGGAAACGACUGCUAAUACCGCAUAAGCCCACACUACCGCAUGGUAGAGUGAGAAAAGAUUUUAUCGCUUUAAGAUGAGCUCGCGUCUGAUUAGCUAGUUGGUGGGGUAACGGCCUACCAAGGCAACGAUCAGUAGCCGGACUGAGCGGGUGAUCGGCCACAUUGGGACUGAGACACGGCCCAGACUCCUACGGGGGGCAGCAGUGGGGAAUAUUGCACAAUGGGGGAAACCCUGAUGCAGCGACGCCGCGUGAGGGAAGAAGGUAUUCGUAUUGUAAACCUCUGUCUUCGGGGACGAUAAUGACGGUACCCGAGGAGGAAGCACCGGCUAACUACGUGCCAGCCGCCGCAGUAAGAC
rnacentral:rRNA from 1 species